rnacentral:rRNA from 1 species
AUGGAGAGAGGGAGAGCAAUGCCGCGCGGGCGUGGUGGCAGGGGGAGGGGGAGGGGCAGGGCUCGGACCCCCGUCGCCGACGGCGGCAACCGCGGGGAGGCGAGCAAGGCGAAGGAGCUCGCAGAGGCGGGCCAGGAGGACGCGAGCGGCGAGGCGCACGACUGGGUAGAGGUGCCGGUGGUGUGGAGGCAGCCGCGGGGCGCCGCCGCCGCCGACGACGCUGCGCGGAUGAAGCAGCUGGUGGAGGAUCCCAAGGAGAAGACCGCCGCGGCCGACGACGCGGCUGCGCGGAUGAAGCAGGCGGUGGAGAAUCCCGUGCCCGCCGCCCCGUUCGACCCCGGGAUGGUCGAGUACAUCAACGUUGGCGGGUGCGUGAUGGAGCGCGACGCCUACGACUUCAUCCGGUACGACCUCGGGAUGCCCCCGCCCAGCCUCGAGCCAGGCCACGACGAACCGCUGCGGCUGUGGUCGUGGGACGACUACUCCUCCUUCCCCCAGAGCGCGCCGCCGCCACCGCCGCCCAACAUUAUGUGUUGCGUGUGCUACCGUUACACUUACUCAUUACUCGGGCGUCUUUGGCACAUCGAUGAGUCGGCGGAGGUCAGACGUAGACUUCUGCCGUCUUCUUGGAACGACGAGAUUAAGAUCCGUCAGGAGCAAGUUAGAAGCAGAAUCAUCAUGGUAUUGUGGUGCAGCGGGCACCUCCGCAAUGAAUUAGAACACGGCAAAUCUAUUCCUCCCCUGGAGGUUUCGUGCUCCUUCUUGGUCAGCUACUACAAAUCUUACAACCAGAUUUCCCUGUCAAUGGAAAAAAUCAUCAAGGCCCUUGAGGCCGAACUACAAGCUAUGGCGGAGGGACUCAAGUUGGCGGCCGAGCACUCUUCAACUAAUAUUAUUCUGCAGUCGGAUUGCUCCUUAGCACUCAAGGCGAUAUAUAGCAAAGGAAGAAAAGAGGGAGGGACAGGCCCAGCGCACGGGCACGCCACGGUCUCCUCCGCGCAGGAGCACAUCCAGCGCCAGGACCGCCGUCGCCCCUACGACCCUACCGCCCCCCGCCGUCCGAAAUUCGCGCCCCCCUCGUGGCCGUCCGGUCCGGUCUGCGUUCGGCAGCGUUUUCGGAAAGGUUCCGCGUAG